rnacentral:snoRNA from 1 species
UUCCUCAUACAAGUUUGUAGAAAAUCAAAAGGGGAACAUUUCCACAAGAAGGAGGAGCAGGGUUCUCUCCUGAGUGUGAAGCCAGCUCUUGGUGUUACUUCACUGCACCGGCCAUUUGCCAUUAAGGAUCGUUCUUUUCUCCUCUUGGGAGAGUAUGAGGAAGAGGACAUUGUCUGA